UACGUAGGGGGCGAGCGUUGUCCGGAAUUAUUGGGCGUAAAGCGCGCGCAGGCGGUUUUUAAGUUCGUGGUGAAAGACCGGGGCUCAACCCCGGAGCGUCCGCGAAGACUGGAAGACUGGAGUGUCGGAGAGGAGUGCGGAAUACCUGGUGUAGCGGUGGAAUGCGUAGAGAUCAGGUGGAACACCGAUGGCGAAGGCAGCACUCUGGCCGAAUACUGACGCUGGAGGCGACGAAAGCGUGGGGAGCGAACGGG
rnacentral:rRNA from 1 species